rnacentral:rRNA from 1 species
AGAGUUUGAUCCUGGCUCAGAACGAACACUGGCGGCGUGCUUAAUACAUGCAAGUCGAACGGGAACGCAUCAUUCGUGGUGUUAGUAUAGUGGCGAACGGGUGAGUAACGCGUAAACAAUCUGCCUUUCAGUUGGGGAUAACCUCGCUAACGCGGGGAUAAUACCGAAUGGCAUUAUCUUAUUGCAUAAUAGGGUGAUAAAAGGGGCCUCGGUCUCGCUGGAAGAUGAGUUUGCGUUCUAUUAGUUAGUUGGUGAGGUAAUGGCUCACCAAGACGAUGAUAGAUAGCCGGCCUGAGAGGGUGAUCGGCCACAUUGGGACUGAGAUACGGCCCAGACUCCUACGGGAGGCAGCAGUAGGGAAUUUUGCGCAAUGGACGAAAGUCUGACGCAGCAACGCCGUGCGAGUGAUGAAGGUCUUAGGAUUGUAAAGCUCUGUCAGUAGGGAAGAAAGUGCUAGGGUAAUGCCUAUGUAUUGACGGUACCUACAGAGGAAGCUCCGGCUAACUCCGUGCCAGCAGCCGCGGUAAUACGGGGGGAGCUAGUGUUGUUCGGAUUUAUUGGGCGUAAAGAGAACGUAGGCGGA